AGUAGGUUGUGUGUCGGAAACUAAUAAGGCUUGUCUAAGUAAUGGCGAAUGUACAGGGACAAGCUCAGUAUGAUAAUUUGAGCAAGCUGCGUUAACUUGUAGCCUUGAGUUGUGUGGCCAGUGGAGGUACAGCUUGAAACUUUUGGAAGGGAGUGUUGAUAAUGGUGCAAACCCUGUACAUCAGUUGUAGCCCUCAGCGCAUUGUGCACUUACUCAGAGUUGCGCCCCUUUGGAUUGGAGUGCAAAGCUGGUGGUAAUGUUCAUCUAAAGCUAAAUGCUUGUCUGAAUCUAAUAGCGAACAAGUACCGUGAGGGAAAGGUGAAACAGGACUUUGAACAGAGGGACAACUACGCUUGAACUUGCUGAACUGGAAAUGAAGGGAGCCAGGGCAUAUUUGGAAUAUUGCUGUGUAUUGGCCUGCCUGCCUGCUAGCUUUUGCAGCAUGCAGGUGGUGGGUGGGGUGCAGACAGUGCUUCUCCCAUUUGUCAAUCAGCUUCAGGCCACGGCGCCAGGUGAGCACCAGGGACAUGGAAUACUGCUUUUGGUGGGUGAAUGUAGCUGCAUUUGCUAGCGCUGUGUCUUGUUGGUAAUGAAAUGGCCCUUUUGCCCCGUCUUGAAACACGGAUCAAGGAGUCGAGCUUAUAUACAAGUUCUAAUGAUGCACACACACACACAUCUCCUUGCAUGAUGAACAUGCCUGUUGGGAUGUGUGCAUUAACAACCGAUUUUUCAAGUUUGGAGAUAGUGUGUGUGAGUGUACAUGCUAGGACCCGAAAGAUGGUGAACUAUGCCUGUUCAGAGCUAACUCAGGGGAAACUCUGAUGGAGGUUCGCAGUGGUACUGACGUGCAAAUCGUUCGUUAUACGUGGGCAUAGGGGCGAAAGACUAAUCGAAUCAUCUAGUAGCUGGUUCCCUCUGAAGUGUCCCUCAGGAUAGCUGGGGCUGGACAGCUGCACCAAGUAAAGCGAAUGACUAGAGGAAUUGGGGGUAUGUUGCCCUCGACCUAUUCUCAAACUCUAAAUAGGUACACGCCUACGGUUGCAUGUGUGAGCUUUGAACAUAAGUGACAACUCUAAGUGGGCCAUUCUUGGUAAGCAGAACUGGCGAUGAGGGAUGAACCUAAUGUUGGGCAAAGCAUGCCUUGUUGCUCACUCAUCAGAUACCAUAAAGGGUGUUGGCUCAUAUUAACAGCAGGACGGUGGUCAUGGAAGUUGAAAACCGCUCAGGAGUGUGUAACAACUCACCUGCCGAAUAAUC
rnacentral:rRNA from 1 species